UUUUAAUAUGUUGCAGGAUCAUUUAUUGGUAAUAAAUAAUUGAUGAAUAAUAUUGAUGGUAAUAAAUUAUUAAAUAAUGUUUUAAUUAGUAAAACAAUGCUUGGUUUUGAAGCAGCAGUUGCUUAGUUGUCUCACGAGAGUUUGCACCAGUGGAGGGGGCGCGCGACGCGGUCAGCAGCAGAGCUUCACUUUGAAUCAGUCCUUUCCACUCUCCUCUCUCUCCUCUCCGCUCAUUUGAAGCUGGCGCAGGAGGAUGCUGCUAGGCGCCUUUCACCGCACAAAAUGAAUCCCCUUAUGCUUGGAAAUAUGCAACCAAUGCGUGGACGAUGAAAAAGAAAGUUAAAUGGCUUCGAGGAAGGAUGUAGAUUGCAGCUUCUGCAAAUAUGUAAUCGCGCGCAGGGGCGUCGAGUCGAGGACGGCAGCGGGGAGUCUGUGCUUCACUGACCGGCGGAUCAUGAUCCAGAGCAGAAGAAAUUCAACAAUUCAUUUUACCUGCAUUUAUGGAUGUUUUUGCUCAUGCUUCCAUUAUCUCUUCAUUUGGCUCUUCCACCCACCACUACUACCCUCAGCAUCUACUGCACCUCAGUGACAGUUUUCUUCAUUGUCAUUAAGAUGGGAGAGGAAAGAUAACUUUACCAGCUGUAACAGUGGCAUGAACAUGGAGGAUGUGGAUUGUGCUGGUUCCUCCUUAAGUCAGAAUCAUAACUCCGCCACAUCCCAGAGCCGAAGCCUUUUUCACGGCCGCCAAAGCAGCUCCCAGUCCAGACACCACGGACUCACCGGGAGUAUCGCAGUCGCCCAGUGCAACCUCAGGGCCAAUGGCCCCCUGUCACCAGCUGAUCGAGUCCCAUCCUGGACAGCCAGCACGGCUCCAACAGCCAGCUGUCCUUCAACACCUCCUCCAUUGCCUCCGUCUUUUCCCAGGUGCCUCGUUUAUCCACAACAGGGCCUCUGGCUCUGGCUCUGGCUCCAGCCAGGCGUCUUCCUCCAGCUCCACACUGAGUCUGCUGUUGGCAAGCGGAGCUGCUCCAGCGGCUUGGUCAUCUCGGGCCUCUCUGCAGCUGAGAGGGGGAACACCAGAGAUACGCAGUCCUCAAGUUCUGACAACAUCGUCCUAGGCCCGUCCUGUCACUCGAGUCAUGCUAUGCAGAAGUGGACAUCAGAGGCGUAUGAGAGCAUAGAUGCUCCACCAUUGCCACAGAACCCAAGGGUCCACAGCUCAGACAAGUGCCAAGACGACAUGAGACCACAACAGCCCAGCAUGGUCCAACUCCUAAGCCCUCAAGUCAUGUACAUUACAGAUGUAUUUUUGAAAAACUAAAAAUCUGCCAUGAGUACAAAUGAACUGAUUUGCUGAAAUCAAAACAGGGACGAUAGUAAGUGAGCCCCAGCCAAUGAGACUGCCGUUUGCGCAUAAGUUCUGCCCACUUGGCACAUGAGAGGAAGCGUGAGGUGUGCGCCUUCACACAAGAGACUUAGGUCUCUGCAGAGCAAAAGUGGGCGUUUAUCACCAUGUGGGUGUUUUCAAACUGCUGGGUGUUUCUGAAUCAUGCAAUCUAAAUGAUCCCCCUUACCCAACCCCACCCCUAAACUUAACAUCACUAUUACAUCAACCAAUCAGGUCUCAUGGUGUAAAAACACCUUGAUCUAAUAACUCCCAUUACUUUCCUGCAGAGACCUAUACUUGGAGUUUAAGGUACGCUAAUAAUGCAUUCUCGACAUUUGUCAGUAAAAUAAUGUCAUAGAUACACAAACACAAACAAAUCGUUUGACAGAGAGUGAAACUCUGAAGUGCUCAGUCAGAGAGUGUUUGGCAAGUGAUAAUAUAUCUGUUCUAAACCUUUACUUAGCCUCCAACUCAAACACUGGCGAGUAAAUUCUGAGAAUUUAUUAGCCACUGGCUUAUAUUAGACAUCAUUCAAUCGCAUAUACGAGUGAUUUACUCACAAUGUAGAGGGUUGGCAAAAGCUUGUUACUAUCUCUGAGAUUAAAUGGUGGAAUCUGAUG
ensembl:lncRNA